AACGAACGCUGGCGGCAGGCCUAACACAUGCAAGUCGAGCGGACCUUUCGGGGUCAGCGGCGGACGGGUGAGUAACGCGUGGGAAUAUGCCCUUCUCUACGGAAUAGUCCUGGGAAACUGGGGGUAAUACCGUAUACGCCCUUUGGGGGAAAGAUUUAUCGGGGAAGGAUUAGCCCGCGUUGGAUUAGGUAGUUGGUGGGGUAAUGGCCUACCAAGCCGAGGAUCCAUAGCUGGUUUGAGAGGAUGAUCAGCCACACUGGGACUGAGACACGGCCCAGACUCCUACGCGAGGCAGCAGUGGGGAAUCUUAGACAAUGGGGGCAACCCUGAUCUAGCCAUGCCGCGUAAGUGAUGAAGGCCUUAGGGUAGUAAAGCUCUUUCAGCUGGGAAGAUAAUGACGGUACCAGCAGAAGAAGCCCCGGCUAACUCCGUG
rnacentral:rRNA from 1 species